GGGUCAGUAGGUCGGUCGUGCCACUGGUAUGAACUGGUUUUACUGAUUCCUCCCUCUUGAAGAACUGUAAUGCCAUUAAUUUGGUGUUGCAGGGAAUCAGGACUGUUACUUUGAAAAAAUUAGAGUGUUCAAAGCAGGCCUACGCCUGAAUACGUUAGCAUGGAAUAAUAGAAUAGGACGUGCGAUCCUAUUUUGUUGGUUUCUAGAGUCGCCGUA
rnacentral:rRNA from 1 species